CUGUUCCUGUCGCUCUGGCUGACAGUCAGAGGCAAGGACAGCAGCGUGAGUGGAAGAUUUCUGCCCUGUGUUUUGUGUGUUCGCAAGGAGGCCAGAGUGGUGCUGAUACCUGGGGUCCCGAGUUCCCCGGAAACGUGGCAGUCAUGGCACCAUGUGCUCGAGAAACACAGAUGGGAAAGUCCAUCCCAGAAGCUGGUAACCGCGGCAGAUACAAUCAGCUGCAAAGCAAAUCGGAUGCCACGGCGUUGUCAGCGAGGAGUGUGCCUGCGCCCCGGCUAUUCGCUUCAGUAGAAGCAGGUGCUUCUGAAGCAGGACCUCUGACUGAAGACCCUCCCCCAGCGCUGCCGCCGAGCCCAGCCUCACCCCGGGGUGCUGCACCAUGCGGGGGUCUCCGGGUACCUCGGAAGUCAUAGCUGUGUGUGCCCAGGAACCCCCUGGUCCCCCAGAGGCCCAUGAGGGACCCCCUUUCUUCUCCAUGUCAAAUGUUGUCACCAGAUGCUUUGGACUGAACGUAGGUGCACCCCCCAAAUUCACAUUUGAGGUGCCCACCCAGUGUGAUGGUAGUUGUGGGGGGUGCUUUGGGAGGUGUGGGGUUUAGAGGUCAUGAGGGCGGGGCCCCUUGUAGGAAGAGGCACUGAGAGACUGAGCCCAGAGAAGGGGCCUGUCUCAGCCAGAGAGAGGACUCCCUCCAGGAGCCACGUCUGCAGAACCUUGACCUUGGACUCCCAGCCUCUGAAAUGUGCCAAAUAAACACGUGCUGUUUAAGCCCG